GUGGGGAUGGCUUAGUGGUUAAGAGCACCGGCUGAUCUUACAGAGGACCUGGGUUGAAUUCCCAGCACCCACG
rnacentral:tRNA from 1 species